ensembl:snRNA U2 U2 spliceosomal RNA
AUUGCUUCUUGGCCUUUUGGCUAAGAUCAAGUGUAGUAUCUGUUCUUAUCAGAUAGAUCAUAGAUAGAUACCCUUUAUUCUGCAUGAUCUUGGCACAUCUUUAAAAGAGAUAAAUUAAUCCCUU